rnacentral:rRNA from 1 species
AUGCAGAGUUAUGAUGGAGUGAAAACUCACUUGAGAUGUGAUGGUAUUCUUCAAGGUUACACUAAGUGGGUUUGCCAUCGAGAGGAUUACAGUGAACCAUCAUUUGCAUUUGCUCAUGUAUCAGAUAACAGUGGCAAUCUAUCUAUUCCUGGCAUCCCAAGGAAUGUUGUUGGAGAAGGCAACCAUGGAAGGAUGGAUGACAUGCCAGGACUCUUAAGUGUUGUCUUUGCUAUGGCUAACAGUUGUGAAUCUUUAUCAAGAACAUCUGAUGGUGAAUUAGAUGGCGUUGAAUUUGAGAAUAUGGUACCUAAUUCAGUUGAGGAUGAGAAUGCAGAUACUCAAACAAGGAAGAAACCUAAUACAUAUGCAAGCUUCUCAGAGGAUGCAAACACGGAGUUAUACCCUGGAUGUAAAUUAUUUUCUAAGUUGUCAUUUCUCAUCACCUUGUAUCACAUGAAAUGCUUACAUGGAUGGUCACAAGAAUCAUUUGCAACGCUACUUGGUGUUUUGUCUGAUGCACUUCCACAGGCACAACUACCAAAGAAGUACUAUGAGGUACAAAAAAUCAUCCGUGGCUUAGGCCUUGACUACGAGAAAAUUCAUGAAUGCCCCAAUGAUUGCAUGCUUUUUCGAGGUGAACGAGCUGAUCAAGAGUCUUGCCAUGUGUGUCUAAGCAUAAGAAGAAACCAGCCAAGGUGUUGCGUUACUUUCCUUUGA